AGUGAACGCUGGCGGUAGGCCUAACACAUGCAAGUCGAACGGCAGCACAGUAAGAGCUUGCUCUUACGGGUGGCGAGUGGCGGACGGGUGAGGAAUACAUCGGAAUCUACUUUUUCGUGGGGGAUAACGUAGGGAAACUUACGCUAAUACCGCAUACGACCUACGGGUGAAAGCAGGGGAUCUUCGGACCUUGCGCGAUUGAAUGAGCCGAUGUCGGAUUAGCUAGUUGGCGGGGUAAAGGCCCACCAAGGCGACGAUCCGUAGCUGGUCUGAGAGGAUGAUCAGCCCCCGUGGAAAGGAGACACGGUCCAGACUCCUCCGGGAGGCAGCGGUGAGGAAUAUUGGAAAAGGGGCCAAGGCCUGAUCCAGCAAUCCCGCGGGGAUGAAAAGGCCUUGGGGGUUGAAAACCCUUUUUGUGGGGAAAAAAAAGCAGCGGGUAAAUCCCCGCUUUUUAUGCGGGUCCCAAAAGAAUAAGACCGGGCUACCUCGGUC
rnacentral:rRNA from 1 species